CAGUCGCCACGGUAAUACGUAGGGUACGAGCGUUAAUCGGAAUUACUGGGCGUAAAGCGUGCGCAGGCGGCUUUGCAAGACAGAUGUGAAAUCCCCGGGCUCAACCUGGGAACUGCAUUUGUGACUGCAAGGCUAGAGUGCGGCAGAGGGAGAUGGAAUUCCGCGUGUAGCAGUGAAAUGCGUAGAUAUGCGGAGGGACACCGAUGGCGAAGGCAAUCUCCUGGGCCUGCACUGACGCUCAUGCACGAAAGCGUGGGGAGCAAACAGGAUUAGAUACCCCUGUAGUCCCUGUCUCUUAUAC
rnacentral:rRNA from 1 species